rnacentral:rRNA from 1 species
AACGAACGCUGGCGGCAGGCUUAACACAUGCAAGUCGAACGCCCCGCAAGGGGAGUGGCAGACGGGUGAGUAACGCGUGGGAACAUACCCUUUUCUACGGAAUAGCUCUGGGAAACUGGAAUUAAUACCGUAUACGCCCUACGGGGGAAGGAUUUAUCGGGGAAGGAUUGGCCCGCGUUGGAUUAGCUAGUUGGUGGGGUAAAGGCCUACCAAGGCGACGAUCCAUAGCUGGUCUGAGAGGAUGAUCAGCCACAUUGGGACUGAGACACGGCCCAAACUCCUACGGGAGGCAGCAGUGGGGAAUAUUGGACAAUGGGCGCAAGCCUGAUCCAGCCAUGCCGCGUGAGUGAUGAAGGCCUUAGGGUUGUAAAGUUCUUUCACCGAUGAAGAUAAUGACGGUAGUCGGAGAAGAAGCCCCGGCUAACUUCGUGCCAGCCGCCGCUGUAAUAC